ACUUUUUAUAAUCACACUUUCAGAAGUCCAGUCUCUUGAUAAUGUAAUAAGCUGUUGCUUUAUAGAACCCUCCCUUUUUUCCUGGUCUCCUGUCAUGGGGAUUCUUGCAUUGGAACAGGUCUCUCAGGAGGACCAGGUGGCAUCAGGGUGGGCAGGGUAUUUUGGGAGUCCCAAAGCCACUGCAGAAGGAAAUAGGGGGCAGUGAUCAGACUCCCCAUGCCCAAAUUUGAAUCCCAAAUUCCCCAAUAUCAUUGGGACAAACAAGCACAUGUCCUCUGCGGGCCUCAGUUUUCUCCUCUUAUACCCAUAAGGUCUGUGACCUCCUCCUGAGCCAUUAGAGGCGGUCAGCUGCGAAGGUGCCCAUUCACAGUAUGACAUCUGCCUGCAGCCAGCUGGGCUCUGGCAACUUCAGCCUCUUCCUGCUAAGACAUUUCAGGCUGGGCGCCACUCGCUCCUCCAGUGCUGACGAGCACCGGUACGUUGCGGUGUGUUUGAGACAGAAAUGGAGCUCGAGACACCCUGCUGGCCCACCAGCAGAGAGGCAGGUGCCUCACCAGCACUCGCUGCAUUUUAGUUUACUGACUUUGACAUGAAGGUGAUGAUAGCACUUAUCUUGGCCUUUAAGAGUCCAAUUUAUCAUUUUUCUUAAAGUCUUUACUGGUUUGGUUACAUGUCUAAGGAUUCUUGGCCCAACACAAGGUCACAAAUAUCUCCAGUGUUUGUUUUCUGCAAAAUUGUGUGUGUGUGUGUGUGUGUGUGUGUGUAUGACUAUUUUUUUUAGAGCAGUUUUAGAUUUACAGCAACGCUGAGUGCAAAGUAUUUAGAGAUCCCCAGGCCACCAAUCAAUGUUUCUGUCUCUCCCUCUCCAUUCCUCUCUCAGAAAUGUUUGUAGCAGCUUUAUGAUAAAUAAUCAAAUAUUAGGAAUAAAAGUGACAAAGUGAGUACUUGUCGAUACCAGGAUUCCGGGGUUAGCUUUUGGAGCAUUUUCUCUCUUGAUUCUCACAACAGCCUUGUAAGUGGAAACUAAUACCGAGUUGCUGGAAAAUCCAAGGAUUAGAGAAAUGAAGUAGGUUCUCCAAAGUUGAUUCCACAGACGAGUGUCAGAAAUAGAGGCUGGAUUCCAACCCGGGAUUCUGGCUCCAGAACCUGGGACAAGUUCUACCAUGGGGGCAGGUACACUGUUAGGACUAGGGAGGCUCAACGAAAGCUGCUGGUGUCAUUGUUGCAGUUAGGAUUAUUCUCCUAAAAUGUCAGAGCACCUCAGUCUUUCAAUGGACAGCAUCAUCUCUCAGCUCCAGUGGUUUCUCCAGCAGAACCUUCUUUCAGAGUGAGCGGCAGCUUGCCUCUCCUUUGAUCCCAGCUCAGAGUUUGACCCACGGGAAACCUCCGUAAUUUGAGUUGUGUCUGCUCUUUCACCCUCUUUGGGUGUCAGGCUCUAAUCCCAUCCACUGUGAUGAAUUUCAUGCCUUAGUUCAACUCUUCAAGUGAUGCUUGUAGCUGGCACUGACACCUUACAGGCAAGGGGACACCUGGACGUGAAUUCUGGGACAUAAUAUUCGAAAGUGAUAAGGAGACCUACAGGACCCUGGUCUCAUUGGCAAGUGCUCACCUCUUUUCUCAAGCUAAGGACCCACUGCCCAUGUGAUUCUGUCCUCUACUUCUGCACUUCUCUAUGAGACAGUGGUGCUCACCAUGUUUUCCCUGCAUGUCGGACCUUGUUCUGGACCCACGUCCUUCCCAGUCUUCCAUGUCCGCAUAGGAUAAUUUUUUUCACGUGCUUAUAGACAGUCAUUUGUUUUCUGUACUGUGUAUUCAAGUCUGUCCUCGUUUUCUGAAUGGGUUGUUUGUUUCCUUAAAUUAUUUCUGAAGUUAUUUAUAUAUUCUGUAUAGAACUCCUGUAUCAGAUUAUGACUUGCAAAUAUAUUCUCUUCACCUGUG